AUUGAACGCUGGCGGCAGGCCUAACACAUGCAAGUCGAACGCGUGGCGGACGGGUGUGUAAUGUCUGGGAAACUGUCCGAUGGAGGGGGAUAACUCUUGGAAACGGUAGCUAAUAUCGCACACCCUCGGAUGUGCCCCGAUGGGAUUAGCUAGUAGGUGGGGUAACGGCUCACCUAGGCGACGAUCCCUAGCUGGUCUGAGAGGAUGACCAGCCACACUGGAACUGAGACACGGUCCAGACUCCUACGGGAGGCAGCAGUGGGGAAUAUUGCACAAUGGGCGCAAGCCUGAUGCAGCCAUGCCGCGUGUAUGAAGAAGGCCUGCGGGUUGUAAAGUACUUUCAGCGAGGAGGCGUUACUCGCAGAAGAAGCACCGGCUAACUCCGUGCCAGCCGCCGCGGUAAUAC
rnacentral:rRNA from 1 species